rnacentral:lncRNA from 1 species
CUCAUAUUUUCUAGCCUCUUUAAUCCUUCAAUCCAUUACCAAUUGAAAACAAUUUUAGACCAAACAUAUUACAUAUCAUAUGCCAUAUUUCAAUCUAAAAUAUAAUCACAUUCUGACACUCAAAAUUGAUUUUUCCUUCUACAUAAGUGCCAAUCCUUCAAAUCAGUAUUAUGAGAAGAAAGGUUAAUGAAAAUCUUGACGUUCGGUACACGUUUAC